UUUCAGUAUAUUUUCUAACUAGUUAGCUAGUUCUUACUGGUAUAUUGGGAAGCUAUUUUUGUAUAUUUAUUUUGUAAUUACCACGGAACUCUCUUAUUAGUUCUUAUAGUUUUACAUCUUUUUUUUUUUUCUUUUGAGGAAGAUUAGCCCUCAGCUAACUACUGCCAGUCCUCCUCUUUUUGCUGAGGAAGCCUGGCUCUGAGCUAACAUCUGUGACCAUCUUCCUCUAGUUUAUACGUGGGACGCCUACCACAGCAUGGCUGCCAAUAGUGCCAUGUCCGCACCCAGGAUCCGAACCAGCGAACCCCGGGCCGCCGAGAAGCGGAACGUGCGAACUUAACUGCUGCGCCACCGUGCCGGCCCCUAGUUUUACAUCUUUUUUUUGGUUACUAACCAUGUAAUAUGUAAUAUGUGGCAUAAAUGCUUCCAGUACUUUUUCCAGUGUCAGUGGCAGAAAUCUCUAAUUGAUCAUCCCAUCGACGCUGGGUGCAGAAAACCCUUCUCAAUCUGCACUCUGUUGGGAAACAGUUUUCUAUGGGUUUGUCACGCUUCUGCGCAUAUUCUGAGCAAGGCACUCACCGUUCUGAACUAUCUUUUCAAGGUUGUAUGUAUAGCAAAUAGCCUUAGAAGAUAAGGAUAGUGUCUUGCUCCAAGCAAAGGACAGGUUUGCUUAUGGCCUUAUAAGAUAGAGGUGGCAUCUCUCUCAUGAGCAAAGGGAAGAUAUGGCAGUAAGGAUAAAAGAUUCAGAUUCUUUGGGGCCGGCCCUGUGGCCGAGUGGUAAGUUCACGUGCUCCUCUUCAGGGGCCCAAGGUUUUGCCAGUUUAGAUCCUGGGCGCGGACAUGGCACUGCUCAUCAGGCCACAGUGAGGUGGUGUCCCACAUGCCACACUAGAAGGACCCACAACUAAAAUAUACAACUAUCUACUGGGGGGAUCUGGGGAGUAAAAAAAGCAGAAAAAAAAAAAAAAAAGAUUGGCAACAGUUGUUAGCUCAGGUACCAAUCUUUAAAAAAAAAAAAGAUUCAGAUUCUUUAAGCUCAGAGUUUUUCUGUAACACAUCUCAUUGUGUGUGCUGGUGUUCUCUGGCUCUCUUCACAUCACCUGGUAAAAAUCAAGAUUCAGGGAACUGGCCACUGUUAUUGAUGUGAGUAAUAAGUGGCCUUUCAUCUGUGAUCCAGGAGUCUUGCGUCUUCUACCAGCAUCUAGGAAACUGUGUCAGGCUAACUUAGCUUACAAGUAGGGUAAAAUCUCAGACCUUCUCAUUUCUUCAGUUUUGGUGAUGAGGAUGGGAUGCUGACAGAAACAUGGCUUUUUGGAAGAGGAAGGAUGAGAGCCUCACGGGUUUCAACAUGGGAUCUGAGGAGAGCCCAUGGAAUUGGCAGCAAACAUGUUCACUAAGUUGUAUGGUCAACUGGGCAAUUAAUAGUCCUUCAUUUUAUUUCUCAUAAGUUGUAUGGUCAACUGGGCAAUCAAUAGUCCUUCGCUUUAUUUCUCAUUAGUGAGGAGAAAUUGGGGAGGUGGUUGCAGACGAAGUGCCAGGAAAUAAGUUCAAAGAGAGCGGCCCGAAUAUGUCUGGCUGUUGCUAAUUCUCCCCAGGACUUUGUUACCCAUCCAGUGGGGGAGCCUCAAGUCUACCCCAUUGUAACAGCCAGUACUAAGUUUUGUUCUGAGUAGAAGGAAUGUUUCAUUCCUUUCAGAUAACAAUUACAGAGACGCACACCUACACUGACCAUGAAAGGAGGCGAAUUUGUGACUGCUAUGGGAAGAAAUCAUUAAAAUUUUGGCUGGCCUCUUGGGAGAUGAGGGGUGGUGUGUGCUAGGGAGAAUGAUGAUGGCUGAGACUCUUAUGGCUUAACCUCUCCUGCAGUCUAUUAUGUCAAACUCAGACCCACUGGAGAUGAGCGAAAGGCCGCAGAGUUCUUUUGCAGUGAGUUCUGGCUGCUUUAAGGGAGCUUUGGCCCUCAUAGGCAGAGUUCUCUGAGAAAGACAAACUGCUGUGGGAAACCAUAGUUGAGACAUUGACUAGUAUUUGGGUUCUUACUGCCCUGAAGUGGGUUUACAAUGCUAAUAAAGACAACCCACUGGGGAAUGAAAAACUGAACCAGAGGAAUCUAGAUAAAUUCUUGUGACCAGACCCACCACCUGGGAAAAAUCUCCCUAGCCCUUUUGUUGAAACUGGCCAGGAUCUUGAAGGAUGUUAUCUUGGUAAUGGUGUAGCACAGGGAUCAGCAAACUUUUUCUGUAAAGAGUCAGAUAGUAAAUAAUUUAUGCUUUGUGGGCCAUACCGUAUCUGCUGGAACUACUCUACUCUGCUGCUAUAGGACAAAAGCAGCCACAAGCAAUAUGUAAACAAAUGGAUGUGACUUUGUUCCAAUAAAACCUUAUUUACAAAAGCAGGCAGCAGGCUGGAUUUGAUCCAUAGUAGUUUGCUGAACCCUAGUAUAGCAGAUGCAUUGGAUGAAGGUGGCAUCUCAAAGAAGGUUGCUGCUAUGCAAACCAAGCCUGGGUCAGCAGGAGGUGGAAACCCCAUCACUCCAGCCAAAGGCAAUGUGAAAAAGAAGCUUCUUGGCGAAGGGGUUCUCAAUACUGUGAUAGAUGGUGUCAGCCGUGAGGACCUUGCUCCCUGACACAAAGUGGUAGGUGGGCAGAACACAUUGAAACUUCAUUUGGCUGAGCCAUGAGCUUCUACCAUGAUGCUCAAAAUCAAAAGUAAAUGAGAAACUUUGUUUAGUGAUGUGGAGCCAUCCCAUCCCUCCAUACUCCCUGACCGCCUCUCCCUAUCAAUCCUGACCUCAGCUACUUUAAGGAGAAAGAUGAUUAAAGGUAGGGCUCAAGUCUCUCCGUCUUCAAGGGGCAUCAAAGGUCAGACACACCCAUCUGAACAUGUGGGGGAGUUUUAGGAAGGGGAGGGAUUCGAAUUUUUAUGACUCUGUUGAUUAUGAGUGCCCAAUCACUAGCCUACUCAGACCCGUGGGAGGAAAAGUCACCCGGAUUCAGCUAUUGUGACUAUUACACAAACUUGGCACUUGGUAUAUUGUCUUGGACAUUAUCAACACUUUCUUUUUCAUACACCAACAUCUGAGAAUGAAGAUGAGCUCACGUUAACAUGGCAAAGUCUCCAAUAUAUGUUGGUAGUAUUUCCCCAAGUGUGCCUAAACUCCUGUGCCAUUUGCUCCCAGAAUUUAGUGAGUGUGCCUCUACCCUUUCAUGUCCACAGCUUUCACUAUUUGGAUGAUGUCCCAUUGGUUGGUGUUAUGGAAUGAACUGCGUUCCUCCAAAAUUCAUACGUUGAAGCUCUAGCCCCCAUUGUGACUGUACUUGCAGAUAGGGUCUUUAAAGAGGUAACUAAGGACAGAUGAGCCAUAAAGUGUGGCCCUAAUCCAAAAGAACUGGCAUCCUUAUAAGAGGAAGAGACCCCAUGGGUCAGUGUGCAUAGAAAAAAGGCCGUGUGAGGACACAGUAAAAAAGUGGUCAUCUGCAAGCCAAGGCGAGAGGCCUUAGGAGAAAGCAAACCUGCCAACAUAUUGUUCUUGGACUUCCAGCCUCCAGAACGGUGAGAAAUAAAUUUCUGUUGCUUAAGUCAUCCAGUCUGUGAUAUUUUGCUAUGUUGGCCCUAGUGGACUAACACAGUUGGCAAGUCAGAAGCCUCCGACUCAAAGGCCCUGACUACAGCAUUAUCACAUUUCUCCCAGUGGAAGUGGCUGACGAACCUUGAAAUAUUCGAGGGUCUUCUCACAAAAUAAUGAUUCUUGGGACUAUGUUGACAGAUUCGUAAUGCCCAAUCUCUCUGCCAAGUAGAACAGUCGGGAAAAGUUGCUGUCUCUUCUGCCCCUCAUCAUCGAAAAGAAGGCCCAGGACCUUAUUGGACUCAGGGAAUUUCACUGUAAGGGUGGUCACAAGAAACUUUCAAAUGUUUAAGGAAAUACCACCAGUAGAUAACGUAGCUGUCAGAAAGCUGUGGUGAUUUAUCCUCAGUAAAUCUGGGUCACUCAGGGGAGCAUCCUAGAGGACAACUGACUGGUUGUUUUCGCACAUGUUGCAGGCGAUUGUCUCUGUGAUGAGAGUCGUCUAAUAGAAAAGGUGGUAUGAAACCAGUUCCCGAUGUAAGCCGAAGUUAUUAGUGGCACGACUUUAGCCCUGGAAGGCAUUUGGGUUAGUCUCAACUUAUUGGCCAGGGUUGAUAUAGUUGGUAGAAUUGACUUCGUCUUCCUCCUUGCGGGCCCUGAUGGAGUCUGUGCAGUCACUGUCUUGCUAUGUCUGAAUCAAUAUCUUAGGCUGAGUUGAAAGGUUAACACAAAAACUUAAGGAGAAAAACACCUGGCUUUCUAAGGUAGACCUGAUGGUUUAUAGGAUUUGUUCGGCUGGCUGGGUCUGUUACUUGGAGUCCUGUUGAUAUCGGCCUUAAUUAGAUGCUAGAUGAGACAAAUGGAUUUGAUAUGGUCUCAGCCUCACUUCAUCUGAUUAAUUGGAGUGACCAACAAAGGGGGGAAGAUUCUCCAGAAGACAAGACGAGAUGCUGGGUAAAUGAGGGAUGGAUAUUGUUCUGAGGCAAUCCUCCAUGGGUCUCUUGUAUUUCUGCAUGUCUCAUGAGUGGGACACUCACUGCCCUUUGUUUUGUACUGUCUUUUCAAGGAUGCUUGAGUAGUGACAGCCUUGGGAGAUACAGUUUCUCCUUCCAAGAAAAGGACAGCUUUGCCUCCAUUCUUGGAAGAUCAAGAAGAUAGUGUCUCCCUCUAGAGCAAAGAGCAGGCAUGCUUAAAUCCAUUAUCAAAGUUUCAGCUCCCUAAGCUCAGGGUUCCUCUUCUGUAAUGCAACCUAUUAUGUCUGCAGUGGUCACCUGGCUCUCUUCAUGUCACCCUGUGGAAAUUGAGGCUUCGGGAACUGGUGCAAAAAUGCUGCUACUUUGGCUACUAUUGUUGUCGAUGGCGCCCUUUCAUUUUGUGGAGGCAGGAAAGACAGAGGAGGAGAAAUCUUCGUGGCCUUCACAUUUGGAUCAUACAGCGCAAUCCCUAAUGUAAUAUGAAUAGCAUCCUGAUGAAUUAGCCUUAAACACGAUGCUUAGCAGAGUAAUGAACAGAAUGCCUUGAACUCCAACACUGCUCCUGCCAAUGACAUCAGAAACCAUCCAGGGGAAGCAGUUAUCAUCCAAUGCCUGGUCUCAGAGGAUUUAAUGGCUCUGAGAGACAUGGGGAAGAAUGAAUUUGUACCUUAAGAAAUGCCUUUGAAACUACUGAAUCUUUAUUUUCAAUUAUGGAGAAAAAAACAUUGUCCACUGGCACCUAAAAGCUCUCAGACCUUUUGGUUUGAAGUGACGGAUUCCGGAACAACCCAAGGACUGGGUCUUUCCAGCUGAAUGAGACCCUCAGAUCAUACAGUACCAGGGACAGGGACGGCGUCUGAGGGACAGGCGGCUGAAGAUUCAGUUCCCACUCUUGUCUCCUGCCCUGGAUAAACAGUUCAGAAAGAGCUUUGUUCCGCUACAGUGACUGGAGAGCAGAAGCCAUGCUCCACUGGGGAGUGCUGUCUUUCCCCGGCUUUCUUGAUGCGCUUGGGUUGUUUGGGAGUGGUGCCGCAUGCAUCCCUUGCCUACUAACAGAACUGAUUUUGUUCAGUUGUUCAGAUGUCAGGAGCUGGGCCUCUCCUUGGCCCCAGGAGAUAAAUGUCUAUUAGUACAAAUCAACUACAUUAAUUACAUUCUGUUGGCUAGUAAUUGUUUUAGGAAUAAAGUCAUGAAAGAGCUCUGGCCAAUGAGAUAGAAGUGAAGGGGGUGGGGUGCUUCUGGGAAUGUUUUCCUCAUUCGUAAAAAGAGACACAAGAAAAGGAUGUUCUCUGUAGGCCUUUGGACAUUGCUGUGUUAGGAUAUAAUGCUUGGAGCUACUGCAGCUACUUUGCCACCAUGAGACUUCAAGCCUGAAGACAAAGGGCAACAUGUUGAGGAUGGAAGAGCCAAAAGUUAGAUAGAAAGAGCCUGGGUUCCUGAAGACAUGAUUGAGCUGAAUACCCAGUUCUGAACUCUACCUUAUGUGAGAUCAGCGCCCUUAUUUAAUUUUCUCUUAUUUACUCAAAGCCUUUUUGAAUUGUGUUUUCUAUUACAUGCAGCUGAAAGGAUUUUAAACUGACAUGCAUCUUUGCCUCCCCUUUCCCCACUUCCUUGCCUUACCCUCCUUUAUUUCUUAGAUGUUGGCACUUGCAAGCUCAGGCAUCUACAUAGAUCCCACAUCAGCUGCCCAGCUCUGAGGACAUGUAUGGCACGGGGGUUCUUCAAAACUUCUUUGAAACCUCCUUGAUGGCUCAGAAAGGAACACCUUUAAAGCAGCAACCUGAUAAACACCAGUUCCACUUUUCCUUUCAAGUGUGGCAAGACAUUCAUGAAACUUCACAGGAACGGCAAGGACCUGGGCUCUUUGGCAGAGCACCUCGUGGUGACCCAUUUUCACUUGUCUAGCCUUCUCAUCCUCUUACUGGGGGCACAGUGUCUCACCCUGCAGGAUUCUGCUUGCCUGGGAGAGGAGAGUUAGGUCACUGUAAGAUGGGAAGACCUGAAGAAUUUUUAUUUCCUAGAGAUUUUUGCUUUUUCUUUCCCAAACUGGAAAAACAGAAAAAUAAAUCCCCCACAUAUUUCUGAAGUUCUUUUCUUCCCAAGUCCUCACAUCUCUAAAUAUAUCAAACAUGAUAAUUUUUUGAGCAACCAAGUUAUACAUAAUACAUUUUAUGUUCUUAAAUGUAUCAAGUGAUUUUAGAUCUGUACAGGAUGCUAAAAAACAAGAACAGAUAGUGCCCAAUUUGUAAAUUAAUUUGGGAGUAUAACUUUUUUUAAGUGGGUUGCUUGAAUGCAGAAUGCUUUUUCUUAUAGAAACAAUGGUGGUUGAGUUCCAAGUCUGGACCACACAAACCCAUGUAUUCCACAUCGAGCCGCAGCUUUGUUGUUUACCAACCACACUAAUACCGUUAACGCUUGCUGAGCCUCUCCUCUGUGCCUGACUCUUUACUUCCACCUUUUUAUGCGUUAUCACAAUGAUUUAUUUCUCACAACAGCUCUGUGUCAAAGGGAACCAAAGCUCAGAUAGCUUAAGUAACUUGCCCAAGGACACACAGCAUGUAAAUGGUAAAACCAGGACCCUGUGGGCUCUCUGGCCGCAGGGUUAGUUGUUUUCACAUUUAUCUUGCCCUCCUGAUGGGUCUCAGCCACCAUCUGCAUCAAUGUUUCUCUGGAAAAAUGUGUUCCAAAUUCCAACUGCCAAGAGCACGUCUCUCAGGCCUGGCAGCUAAAGUCCCCCUUUGCCCUUCCAAUUUCCCUUUUUUUCUCCUCAAUAGCAGAGAGAGAGAAAGAGAGAAAAAGAGAGAGAGACAGAAAAAGAGAGAGAGAGAGACAGUAUAUCCGUGUGAAGGUUGGCCCAGCAUGAAAGCCUCAUCCUGUCAUUUGCCAGACAGCCUGUCUCCAUCUCUGGCCUUGCCCAUCCGCUGGCUCCUCUACCCCAUCCUGUAGCUGAGCUGGAGAUAACGCACACACUCCUCGUUACAUGUCUACUGCUUCUGCCACCGGUUUACAGCCCAGCCACUGACACAGGUUUGAUAAAAGGGCUUGGUGAUUAUUCAAAUCCCAGCUUAGACUAGGACUUACCUUUGCGAGCCUUCAAUGAAAUGUGGCUUUAAAACAAGCAUAGUCAGAUUUCUGUCCCCUACCCUCUUGGUGUCUCAGGUGGUGAGGACCAUCAUAACGGUCUUUAUACCUCAUCUCUGUCCCUAGACCUGCCCUCCCUCUUCUCACCAGGCUAAUCUCUCCUUUCCAUGCUUCUGAAAGUGUUGGGAGUCUUGUAAAACCAGCCAGGCAGUCUCAAUGCCUCCAGUUGGCCUGCAUCUCACCCAAUGUACUCUCACCUAUGUAUUUCUUAUUUACAAAAAUCUUCCAGCCCAGUUUUGUAGUCUCCCUUGAGAGCAAGUUCCACCCCACCCCUUUUCCGUAAAAGCAAGACCUAAUUUCUCCGUUACCGUGUAACUAUCUUAUGCAUCUUCUACCGCUCUUAGGAAGAACUUAAAC
ensembl:lncRNA